rnacentral:rRNA from 1 species
GGCGUGCCUAAUACACUGCAAGAUAGAACGCGUGAAGAGGACGAGCUUGCGUCUGCUCGUGAUAGAGAUUGGAACGCGGUGAGAUAUCGCGUAGGUAACCCGCCCGCUUACGGGGGAUAACUAUCGUAAACGAGAGCUAAUAACGGAUAAAAUUGAUUAUUGCAUGAUAAUUAAUCGAAAGAUGCAAUUGCAUCACUACCAGAUGGACCUGCGUUGUAUUAUCUAGUUGGUGAGGUAACGGCUCACCAAGGCGACGAUACAUAGCCGACCUGAGAGGGUGAUCGGGCACACUGGGACUGAGACACGGCCCAGACUCCUACGGGAGGCAGCAGUAUGGAAUCUUCGGCAAUGGGGGGAACCCUGACCGACCAACGCCGCGUGAGUGACUAAGGUUUUCGGAUCGUAAAGCUCUGUUGUAAGAGAAUAACGGGUGUGAGAGUGGAAAGUUCACACUGUGACGGUAUCUUACCACAAAGGGACGGCUAACUACGUGCCAGCAGCCGCGGU